rnacentral:rRNA from 1 species
UUGGAGGGCAAGUCUGGUGCCAGCAGCCGCGGUAAUUCCAGCUCCAAUAGCGUAUAUUAAAGUUGUUGCAGUUAAAAAGCUCGUAGUUGAAUUUCGGGAUCAAUUUAUUGGUCGUGCCAACGGUACGCACUGGUACAAUUGGUUUCUCCCUUCUGACGAAGCAUGAUGUCAUUAAUUUGAUGUCGUGGGGAAUCAGGACUGUUACUUUGAAAAAAUUAGAGUGUUUAAAGCAGGCUUUGGCUUGAAUACAUUAGCAUGGAAUAAUGAAAUAGGACGUUUGAUCUUAUUUCGUUGGUUUCUAAGAUCGACGUAAUGAUUAAUAGGGAUAGUUGGGGGCAUUAGUAUUCAAUUGUCAGAGGUGAAAUUCUUGGAUUUAUUGAAGACUAACUACUGCGAAAGCAUUUGCCAAGGAUGUUUUCAUUAAUCAAGAACGAAAGUUAGGGGAUCGAAGACGAUCAGAUACCGUCGUAGUCUUAACCAUAAACUAUGCCGACUAGGGAUCGGACGAUGUUAAUUUUUUAAUGACUCAUUCGGCGCCUUACGGGAAAC